GACGAACGCUGGCGGCGUGCUUAACACAUGCAAGUCGAACGGUAAGGCCCUUCGGGGUACACGAGUGGCGAACGGGUGAGUAACACGUGGGUGAUCUGCCCUGCACUUCGGGAUAAGCCUGGGAAACUGGGUCUAAUACCGGAUAGGACCACUGCCUGCAUGGGUGGUGGUGGAAAGCUUUUGCGGUGUGGGAUGGGCCCGCGGCCUAUCAGCUUGUUGGUGGGGUGAUGGCCUACCAAGGCGACGACGGGUAGCCGGCCGGGGAGGGUAACCGGCCACACUGGGACUGAGAUACGGCCCAGACUCCUACGGGAGGCAGCAGUGGGGAAUAUUGCACAAUGGGCGCAAGCCUGGUGCAGCGACGCCGCGUGAGGGAUGACGGCCUUCGGGUUGUAAACCUCUUUCAGCACCGACGAAGCGCAAGUGACGGUAGGUGCAGAAGAAGGACCGGCCAACUACGUGCCAGCAGCCGCAGUAA
rnacentral:rRNA from 1 species